rnacentral:rRNA from 1 species
CGUCGGCCGGACCGGCCGGCACGGUGNGGUAACACGUAUGGAACCUGCCCGCAGCAGGGGGAUAAGCGGAAGAAAUUCCGUCUAAUACCGCGUAACAACGUUGGGAGGCAUCUCCCGAUGUUUAAAGAUUUAUCGGCUGCGGAUGGCCAUGCGGCGCAUUAGCUAGUCGGCGGGGUAACGGCCCACCGAGGCGACGAUGCGUAGGGGUUCUGAGAGGAAGGUCCCCCACACUGGUACUGAGACACGGACCAGACUCCUACGGAAGGCAGCAG